rnacentral:pre_miRNA from 1 species
AGAGCGGAAUGCAGCCAAGGAUGACUUGCCGGAGCGCCGCCGCCGGCCGGCCGACGAGCGCGCGUUGCGGGGAGAGUUUGCUUUGUUGAGUGGCUGUGGCUCUGUGUUUGGUGUUGAUCAUCCCGGCAAGUGUGUCCAUGGCUAUGUUUCGCUCUCC